UCCACGCCCUAAACGAUGUCAACUAGGUGUAUGGGAGUUUAUCUCUUGUGUAUCGAAGCUAACGCGAUAAGUUGACCGCCUGGGGAGUACGGUCGCAAGACUAAAACUCAAAUGAAUUGACGGGGGCCCGCGACAAGCGGUGGAGCAUGUGGUUUAAUUCGAUGCAACGCGAAGAACCUUACCAGGUCUUGACAUGUACGGAACAUUUUAGAGAUAGAAUGGUGCCUUCGGGA
rnacentral:rRNA from 1 species